UGUUUUGAUAUUUUACACAUGUCAAACUUACGCUGUAUGUUAUUAUUAAGAAUUACAUAGGUGAUCUAACAAAUUUACAGUAGGGGCCACAUUAUCAAAUUCCUUAAAAUUGUUCAACAAGGCCAGUAAAGGGUAUUGGAUUGGGGUAAAAAUUGUUUCAAGGCCAAUAUUGGAUUGGUUCUUUGACAGUUUAUGAUAAGAAAUCGUUGCAAGGGUCAGUGACAGACCUGGGGAUGAUUAUAUUGAUCAGUAAUUGAUUGAAUUAAAAUUACUUUUAGGUUUUGUUGUAAUUGAUUAAGUUUGAUUACUCAGACUUGCCUCUGUAAUCAAUUAAAUUACAAUUACUUUAAGCAAGUAAUUGAUUGAUAAUUGGUUACAUUCAAUGUAAAGUAGAAUUCCUACUUUAGAUCACCCUGGGCAGAAAUAAGACCAUCCAACUAUUAAGACCAUUUUUAAAAGGUUCUUUAUGUCAAUGGUCACAUGAUCCAGCAUUAAGACCACCCGCUUAUCCACUUACAAGACCACCAGAUUCAGUCCAAAUUUCUGUUUUAUUCUUAAUUUGCAACUGAUAUUAAAGUCAACACCUGUCUAGAUCUUUAACUUGUUGUUAUGAUCUGGUUGAAUCCUCUUUUACAUGACACUUGAUUUCACAAGGUGUGAAAAAUAGUUAUUAUUGGGUUAUUGUAUGAAAUAAGGUCAAAAAGUAAAUUUUAGAGUGGUUUAAUGUUGCUUUCAGCACAUUUAUUUUGUGAAGAAUUGAAUUAUAUUAAAAUCAGACUAAAGAGGAGAUAAUGUUAAAUUUCUUCAGAAAUAUGCAUUCCUCUCAUCACGAGUCAUCAGAUUAAAUACUUUUAUAGUGUUUUUAUGUUGUAUUUGUAGGUAAAGAUACAUAUUGUUUAUUCAUACAAAAUGACUUAAAAUGGCCAUAAAGUAUGUAUGCAAUGAUAAGAUAAUCACUUUGGUCAAGGCCCAAUGGUGGUCUUAAUUGAAGAUUUUUAACAAAAGUUAAACUGUAUCAUGUAAACUUAAAGUUGAAUUUAAAUAGUUUCCUGUUAAAUCUGAAAGUAAUCAAUGUCAAUCAAAAUGUAAUCAUAAUUACUGACUGAAUUUAAGCUGUAAUUGAUUAAUUACAAUUAAUUUAAUCAAUUUUUGGGCAAGAUAAUCAAUUACAUGAUGAUUACAGUGUAAUCAUGUAAUCAAUUACAAAAUCAAUGAUUGCGAUAAAUGAUUACCCCAGGUCUGGUCAGUGAAUGUCAAAGAAACUAAUAACCUCAUAGACAAUACUAAAUUAGACUAGGGAAGGUUUUUUCUUGAUAGAAAAUAGUUCAUGCUCAAAUUAAUGAAUCAGCAUUGAUUUUAGAUAAUUUAAGAACUUUUGCACAAGGCAGUGAAGAUAUAUGUAAUCAGGUGAGCAUUAUAUAGCCAUCUUGAUGUUUAUUUUUCGUUUGUGAUAUUUUGUACUUGGCGUGAUAUGUAACAUGUAGUUAAAUUGAUCUGUUUGGUGUAAUUAAACCAUUUUUUUGUGAAUUUAGUUGAAAAUGCUGGUGCUCUUGUACAAGAACAAUCAUAGAAAAACCUGCUGCUAUAAAUAGAUUUGUGUAUACCCGAGUGAGUUUGUACAUCCAUGCAGUACUACUAGAGUUUAUACUGUUGACUGAUUUACCCUCUCACUACUUUCCUGACUGGUAUAUCUGUCCCACUCUUUGUUCCAUCACUAUGUGAACUAAACUGGUAAACCAGUCCCACUCUCUGUUCCAUGACUUUGUGAACUAGACGAGUAAACCAGUCACACUCUCUGUUCUUUCACUUUGUGAAGUAGACUGGUAAACCAGUCACACUCUGGGUACCAUCUACUUGCAAACAAGAAAAGUAUACCCAUCUCAUUUUCGUACCAACUAUUUGGUACAAAAAUCGUUUCCCAUGGUCUGCACUGGUCGCACAAGUAAAAUCUGUUAUUGCCAGCAGUCAAAUGGUUACAGUUAAAAAUAACACAUCCAUCCAUGUAAAAUAUUUAUUAUUGAUAUUCUUAUAUUAGAUUUUUAAUACCUGGAAAGUUAUUGUAUCCAGAAAUUAGUUUAUCAUGCAAUGUAUUUUAAUUGGAAAAUUUAUUUAAAUUCUGUGAUUUUUCUGUUGAGAAAAUAAUAUGUAUUUGUUUUCAAUGAUGUAAAUGUAGUACACUAUAUUAUACAAAAGAACAAUAUAUAAGAUAUUUUUAA